rnacentral:lncRNA from 10 species
ACUAAUUUGUCAUCAAAAGUUCUCCUUCCCAAAAUUUUUCCAAUAAUCAACCACCCUAGGGUUGGGCUGCUCUUAACAAUACAGGAUAACUUUUACUGACCAUUUACUGUGUGCCAGGCACUGUUAAGAAUUGCCAACCAGUUGUAAAUUUCACACAAACUUACAAGAAAUGUACUAUUAGCACUUUAUAGUGAAGAUUUGGUAACACAGCUAAGGAUGGACUCAGGAUUUGGUCCCAAGCAGACUACAGCCUGUGUAUGUGGCAAUGCCCUUGCACCCUCUUACUCAUUGAGAUUGUCUUAUAACAGGUUGUCUGGCCUUUAGACUUUACCAAAUCUAACCUUCACUCCGCUCACAGAUUGAUCUUCCUAGAGCAGGGGUCUUCACCCCCAGGCCACUGACUGGUAUGGGUCUGGUGGCCUGUUUGGAACCAGGCCACACAGCAGGAGGUGAGUGGUUGGCCAGUGAGCAUCACCACCUAAGCUCUGCCUCCUGUCAGAUAAGAGGCCUUGGAUUCUCAUAGGAGCGCGAGCCCUAUUGUGAAGUGUGCAUGCGAGGGAUCUAGGUUGCUUGUUCCUUAUGAGAAUCUAAUGCAUGAUGAUCUGUCACUGUCUCCCAUCACCUCCAGAUGGAACCUUUUAGUUGCAGGAAAACAAGCUCAGGGCUCCCACUGAUUCUACAUUAUGGUGAGUUGUAUAAUUAUUUCAUUAUAUAUUGCAAUGUAAUAAUAAUAGAAAUAAAAUGCAUAAUAAAUGUAACAUGCUGGAAUCAUCCUGAAACCAUCCCCCCUACCCUUCCAUCCAUGGAAAAAUUGUCAUUUUAUUUUUUAAAAAGAAAAUAUUCCACAGUCAUUUAAAAUUUAUUUACUUAUUUCUGGAUAGUUAAUAGAUUUACACUGUUAAAAAUUCACUUUUUAAAAAUUUUUUUGAGACAAGGUCUGGCUCUAUUGCCCAGACUGGAGUGCAGUGGCACGAUCUCAGCUCACUGCAACCUCUGCCUCCUAGGCUCAAGCCAUCCUCCCACCUCAGCCUCCCGAGUAACUGGGACUUCAGGCAUGCACCACCAU